CGAUCAGCGGCACUCGCGGGACGAAGACUCUCUAUAUAAACACCAUUUGCAUUGUCUCGUACUGUCAAGCCUAGCUCACCUGACAAGUACGUUUCAACUCUAUAAGAAGAGGCUCUGGAAUAGCUGUUCGAACUUCAGCCAUACUUGCAACAUUGUAUUCGAUGGACCAUCUGGCUUGAUACCUGUGAUAAUAAGAGGUGUUGCUUCACCACCUCGGAGAGUGACUCCCAAAAAACCAUUUUCUCUCUUAACACGAACUUUAGUGACUUUUGAGAAAACUCCAAUUAAAGGUCAACACUGAAGACGACAAUAACAUAGAUCUUAACAGUGAGAUAUGUCAACAAAUCGACAACAGUAAAAUAAAAAAUAGCCAAGAGCCCUGUUUAAAAUUUCCAAUAG